rnacentral:rRNA from 1 species
AUGCUCGCGUGGCAACGCCUCAUCAUCAGCGUCAACGCCACCGAGGCUGUGAUGCAGGUGGGGUAUGCCAUCUUCAUACGUUUUGGCCCGGCAUGGCGUCUCAUCCUUGUGCAGUGUGCGGUGCCCGCUGUCAGCUACUUCCUUCUGCUGGGUCUCUACCUACUUGGUCUGAUGUGCGCGGGUGCCCUCGCCUACGUCGCUGGAGUCUGCGCAUGCCUCGUCCCCGUUGUGAUCGUGUACGUUGUUGGAGUCUGCGCAUACCUCAUCCCUGCGAUCAAUAUAAUUUUGCUCGUUCUUUCAUCGGAUCUUGAUUAA